rnacentral:rRNA from 1 species
GACGAACGCUGGCGGCGUGCUUAACACAUGCAAGUCGAACGGAAAGGCCCUGCUCUUGUGGGGUGCUCGAGUGGCGAACGGGUGAGUAACACGUGAGUAACCUGCCCUUGACUUUGGGAUAACUUCAGGAAACUGGGGCUAAUACCGGAUAGGAGCUCCUGCUGCAUGGUGGGGGUUGGAAAGUUUCGGCGGUUGGGGAUGGACUCGCGGCUUAUCAGCUUGUUGGUGGGGUAGUGGCUUACCAAGGCUUUGACGGGUAGCCGGCCUGAGAGGGUGACCGGCCACAAUGGGACUGAGAUACGGCCCAGACUCCUACGGGAGGCAGCAGUGGGGAAUAUUGCACAAUAGGCGGAAGCCUGAUGCGGCGACGCCGCGUGCGUGAUGACGGGCUUCGGGUUGUAAACCGCUUUCGCCUGUGACGAAGCGUGAGUGACGGUAAUGGGUAAGAAAGCACCGGCUAACUACGUG